rnacentral:rRNA from 1 species
CAGUCGUACCUGCGGGUAAUCAGCCUUUUGGGCAUGAUUCUGUGGAGCGUGAGGAGUUAAACGCCUUCAUGCCUGCAUAUUCGUGUACUUUUGGGUGUACUUGCCUGUGUGGUUAGUUAACAUCAAUUUUGGUUAUCAUAAAAUGGUUGGAGGAAUGUGGCUAGCUUGCUGUGUAU